UGCCAAAAGGAGAUGGCCGUAAUGAAAGCAAUCAAAGGAGCCGUUAGCAACUUUCAAACGAUCAUUACACUACAAGUUUUUAAUGAGCACAGCAGAAAUUAAUACGGUGAGAAAAUCGAAGAUCAUGGGGAAAUGUCAAGCAAAUCGGACGACAUUUGAUGCGCCUUCACUGCGCGUCUAUCGGAAACUCAAUUUAUUUCAUCAGAAAUGCAAGACAUUUAGUCUAUAAAUAGCAAAUGGUAAAAAACGCGCCUCCGCGCCGAAUAAAAUGCAAAUCAUCCGUCUGGACUCAAAACUGGAAAAUAAAACAAAGAUCGCCGCAUUUUCGACCACUUCUCACACCAAAUUCAGAGGGCCACAGCAACCUCAAGUUGCCGCAGCAUCAAAAACACUGGGCUGAGAUGCAACAAUGGUCGCGACAACAAUAACAAUGCCAGCGAUCGCAGCAGCAACUGCAACAACUGCUGCAGCAGCAACUUCCAAUGCUGCUUUAAAAAGGUGCGCCUGGUUGGGAGUAUUGGAAUUUAUUUUGGUUCUACAGCAACUGCAACACUAAGAGCACCAGCAGCAACAGCAGCAGCAACAACAAGGUGCAACAAGCAUCAACAGGUGAUUCGCCUGAAUGUUGCACGAAUUGGGCAAAACAAAUUCGAGGAAAAAAUCAUCUUAAAUGCUUCUGCCGCCGAAGAAUUUGAGUCUGUUCUUUUAAAUGUUAAUUUUUUUUUUAUUUCGCCUUCCA